rnacentral:lncRNA from 1 species
UCAGAUAUGAGGACACUGGGAGUCACGUUGGCUGGUUCCGUUUCUGCACCACCUUCGUGAGUUACUUGGGUUUGGGGACUGCUUUUAAAUUUCACAGUGACAGGGAUGAGAGCAAAGGAGAAAAUAUCUUUUUAGUAAUUUGCUGUUUCCUGAAGAAUCGUCUCAAAUGUAUACAAAUCCUGGCAUUUAAUUGUGGGAAUGGAUCUGCUACUGUGCACAAAAGUUCUUGGAGAUCAACAACAAUCCAAAGGCAGAAGGGAAGAUAAUUAGAAAUUGAGGAUGGGAAAGAGGAAGAGAGAAGAAAUAAUGACUUUCAGAGGACUUUCUCUCCCUUAGAACAAAAUGAAAAGG